rnacentral:rRNA from 1 species
AAUCAACGCUGGCGGCGUGCCUCAGACAUGCAAGUCGAACGCGAAAGUUCCCUUCGGGGGGCGAGUAGAGUGGCGCACGGGUGAGUAACACGUAGGUAAUCUACCUUUGGGUGGGGAAUAACAGCCGGAAACGGCUGCUAAUACCGCAUAAUGCAGCGGCUCGACAUCGAGACAGUUGUUAAAGCGGGGGAUCGCAAGACCUCGCGCCUAAAGAGGAGCCUGCGGCGGAUUAGCUUGUUGGUGAGGUAAUGGCUCACCAAGGCAUCGAUCCGUAGCCGGCCUGAGAGGGCGGUCGGCCACACUGACACUGACAUACGGGUCAGACUCCUACGGGAGGCAGCAGUCGGGAAUUUUUGGGCAAUGGGCGCAAGCCUCGACCCA